GCAGUCGAGCGGAACGAUGGGAGCUUGCUCCCAGGCGUCGAGCGGCGAACGGGUGAGUAACGCGUAGGAAUCUGCCUGGUAGAGGGGGAUAGCUCGGGGAAACUCGAAUUAAUACCGCAUACGCCCUACGGGGGAAAGCAGGGGAUCUUCGGACCUUGCGCUAUCAGAUGAGCCUGCGUCGGAUUAGCUAGUUGGUGGGGUAAAGGCCCACCAAGGCGACGAUCCGUAACUGGUCUGAGAGGAUGAUCAGUCACACCGGAACUGAGACACGGUCCGGACUCCUACGGGAGGCAGCAGUGGGGAAUAUUGGACAAUGGGGGCAACCCUGAUCCAGCCAUGCCGCGUGUGUGAAGAAGGCCUUCGGGUUGUAAAGCACUUUAAGCAGGGAGGAAAGGGGCAGGACUAAUAAUCCUGUCAGUUGACGUUACCUGCAGAAUAAGCACCGGCUAACUUCGUGCCAGCAGCCGCGGUAAUACGAAGGGUGCAAGCGUUAAUCGGAAUUACUGGGCGUAAAGCGCGCGUAGGCGGUUUGAUUAGUUGGAUGUGAAAGCCCAGGGCUCAACCUUGGAACUGCAUCCAAUACUGUCAGGCUAGAGUACGGGAGAGGGGGGUAGAAUUCCACGUGUAGCGGUGAAAUGCGUAGAGAUGUGGAGGAAUACCGGUGGCGAAAGCCGGCCCCCUGGAUCGAUACUGACGCUGAGUGCGAAAGCGGUGGGGGAGCAAACAGAUUAGAUACCCUGGU
rnacentral:rRNA from 1 species